rnacentral:rRNA from 1 species
GACAGAGGGUGCAAACGUUUGUUCGGAUUUACUGGGCGUAAAGCGUGUGUAGGCGGCUUGGCAAGUUGGAUGUGAAAGCCCGGGGCUCAACCCCGGAACUGCCUUUGAAACUAGAUUGCUAGAAUCCUGGAGAGGUGAGUGGAAUUCCGAGUGUAGUGGUGAAAUGCGGUAGAUAUCGGGAGGAAUACCAGUGGCGAAGGCGGCUUCUUGGCCUGUUCUUGACGCUGAGGCGCGAAAGCUGGGGGAGCAAACGGGG